CCCACCUGCAUACCAUGGAGGACCCUACACCUGAGUAGGUGAAUGCCUGAAGAAGGCUGUACCCCAUGAGAUGCUGUGAUUGGAGCAGGUUUGCUGACAAGGCCUUGUGACCUCAUGAGGGGCCCUGCUGGAGCAGUUAGCGAAGAAGUGGAACCUGUGCAAAGGCCCCACACUGGAGAAGUUUGAGGACUGUCCCAUGGGUGUGGCCCCAGAUUGGAGCAGGGGCAGCAGAGAUUCCCUCACAGCCCACAGUGAAGACCAUGGUGAAGCAGUUAUCUCCUGCAGCCCAUGCAGGACUGUGAGGUGGACUACACCAACAGCGGACUCUAGUGGGAACCCUUUGUUUUUAGCCAGGCUGCGGACAAGGAACAGUCUAGUUUGUAUUCCAGCAGCACCUAUCAACAGCAGUUACUGCAACAUUAAGCAGCCCCUUUCUGCAAAAGGUACUCAAGCAUGAUUUCAGAUGCUCAUCUGUGAAAAAUUUGGGAGGAAAACACUUCUGAAAGGCUUACUUCUGUGGAAAGAACAUCUUACUGCAUGCUGCAAGCUCCACAGCAGAAAAAAGGGAAAAAAAGCAGAAACAGGGCAUAUGAAGUUGAAGCUCAGGAAUAUGUUCCUUGGGGAACUCAGCACAAAAUUGAAGAAUAAGGUUUUAAAUCCAAAU